rnacentral:misc_RNA from 1 species
AAGUCGUAACAAGGUUUCCGUAGGUGAACCUGCGGAAGGAUCAUUAACACGUAUCCAACGUUAAAUGUGAACCUUCAUUGUACGAGUUACAUCCACGUCAUAAACCGGCAAUCUCUGGCAAAUCAUCGCCGAACAGUUUUGAUUCAGAGACCUCUGGGAAGGGUGUACAUUCCUCUGCUUGUUAGUGUCUGAAAGUGUCACUAGCUAUGUAGGGAUGGCGCAGUAACGAUCGCUGGAGGCCGACACGGCCGGCGACCAGGUCACUGGGCUACGGCCCCCCUGAUCACAACCUUUGCAUGAAAACGGGCCUGCGCUGAGGUGCGGCCACCCCUUAUAUCUUGGUUCUC